GGGUUGUUAGCUCAGUUGGUAGAGCUGCGGACUCUUAAUCCGUAGGUCGAGCGUUCGAGUCGCUCACAACCCACCA
rnacentral:tRNA from 4 species